rnacentral:rRNA from 1 species
UGGGGAAUAUUGGACAAUGGGCGAAAGCCUGAUCCAGCAAUGCCGCGUGAGUGAUGAAGGCCUUAGGGUUGUAAAGCUCUUUUACCCGGGAUGAUAAUGACAGUACCGGGAGAAUAAGCCCCGGCUAACUCCGUGCCAGCAGCCGCGGUCAUACGGAGGAUCCAAGCGUUAUCCGGAAUUACUGGGCGUAAAGAGUUGCGUAGGUGGCAGAGUAUGUCUGUAGUGAAAGCGUGUGGCUCAACCAUAUACACAUUACAGAAACUGCUCAGCUAGAGGACGAGAGAGGUUAUUAGAAUUCCUAGUGUAGGAGUGGAAUCCGUAGAUAUUAGGAGGAAUACCGAUGGCGUAGGCAGAUAACUGGCUCGUUCCUGACACUAAGGCACGAAAGCGUGGGGAGCAAAC